GUGCCAGCCGCCGCGGUAAUACGUAGGGUGCAAGCGUUAAUCGGAAUUACUGGGCGUAAAGCGUGCGCAGGCGGUUUUGUAAGACAGUGGUGAAAUCCCCGGGCUCAACCUGGGAACUGCCAUUGUGACUGCAAGGCUAGAGUGCGGCAGAGGGGGAUGGAAUUCCGCGUGUAGCAGUGAAAUGCGUAGAUAUGCGGAGGAACACCGAUGGCGAAGGCAAUCCCCUGGGCCUGCACUGACGCUCAUGCACGAAAGCGUGGGGAG
rnacentral:rRNA from 1 species